rnacentral:rRNA from 1 species
UAGCUAGUUGGUGAGGUAAAGGCUUACCAAGGCGACGAUCUGUAGCGGGUCUGAGAGGAUGAUCCGCCACACUGGAACUGAGACACGGUCCAGACUCCUACGGGAGGCAGCAGUGGGGAAUUUUGGACAAUGGGGGCAACCCUGAUCCAGCCAUGCCGCGUGAGUGAAGAAGGCCUUCGGGUUGUAAAGCUCUUUCGGCCGGGAAGAAAUCGCAUGGGCCAAUACCCUGUGUGGAUGACGGUACCGGAAUAAGAAGCACCGGCUAACUACGUGCCAGCAGCCGCGGUAAUACGUAGGGUGCGAGCGUUUAUCGGAAUUACUGGGCGUAAAGCGUGCGCAGGCGGUUUUGUAAGACAGGCGUGAAAUCCCCGGGCUUAACCUGGGAACUGCGUUUGUGACUGCAAGGCUAGAGUACGGCAGAGGGGGGUGGAAUUCCACGUGUAGCAGUGAAAUGCGUAGAGAUGUGGAGGAACACCAAUGGCGAAGGCAGCCCCCUGGGUCGAUACUGACGCUCAUGCACGAAAGCGUGGGUAGCAAACAGGAUUAGAUACCCUGGUAGUCCACGCCCUAAACUAUGUCAACUAGGUGUUGGGUGGGUAAGACCAUUUAGUACCGUAGCUAACGCGUGAAGUUGACCGCCUGGGGAGUACGGCCGCAAGGUUAAAACUCAAAGGAAUUGACGGGGACCCGCACAAGCGGUGGAUGAUGUGGAUUAAUUCGAUGCAACGCGAAAAACCUUACCUACCCUUGACAUGCCAGGAACUUGCCAGAGAUGGCUUGGUGCCCGAAAGGGAGCCUGGACACAGGUGCUGCAUGGCUGUCGUCAGCUCGUGUCGUGAGAUGUUGGGUUAAGUCCCGCAACGAGCGCAACCCUUGUCGUUAAUUGCCAUCAUUUAGUUGGGCACUUUAACGAGACUGCCGGUGACAGACCGGAGGAAGGUGGGGAUGACGUCAAGUCCUCAUGGCCCUUAUGGGUAGGGCUUCACACGUCAUACAAUGGUCGGUACAAAGGGUUGCCAAGCCGCGAGGCGGAGCCAAUCCCAGAAAGCCGAUCGUAGUCCGGAUUGCAGGCUGCAACUCGCCUGCAUGAAGUCGGAAUCGCUAGUAAUCGUGGAUCAGCAUGUCACGGUGAAUACGUUCCCGGGUCUUGUACACACCGCCCGUCACACCAUGGGAGCGGGUUCCGCCAGAAGUAGGUAGCCUAACCGCAAGGGGGGCGCUUACCACGGCGGGGUUCGUGACUGGGGUGAAGUCGGAACAAGGUAGCCGUAGGGGAACCUGCGGCUG